rnacentral:rRNA from 1 species
CCUACGGGAGGCAGCAGUAAGGAAUCUUCCACAAUGGACGAAAGUCUGAUGGAGCAACGCCGCGUGCAGGAUGAAGGCUUUCGGGUCGUAAACUGCUUUUAUAUGGGAAGAUUAUGACGGUACCAUAUGAAUAAGGACCGGCUAACUACGUGCCAGCAGCCGCGGUAAUACGUAGGGUCCAAGCGAUAUCCGGAAUUACUGGGCGUAAAGCGUGUGUAGGUGGAUUAAUAAGUGUGAUGCGAAAUCCGGCGGCUCAACCGUUUGGACUGUGUCGCAUACUGUUAGCCUAGAGGACGGCAGAGGUAAGUGGAAUUACGGGUGUAGCAGUGAAAUGCGUAGAUAUCCGUAGGAACACCAAUGGCGAAGGCAGCUUACUGGGCCACACCUGACACUGAGACACGAAAGCGUGGGGAGCGAACAGGAUUAGAUACCCUGGUAGUCCACGCCGUAAACCGAUGCAUACUAUUAGUAUGGGGUAUGACCCCCUGUGCUGAGAAGCUAACGCGAUAAGUAUGCCGCCGNGGGAGGUACGAGCGCAGACUAAACUAACAAAGAAGUAGAGCGUGAGACGNGCGACGACGACGACGAGGGAGGAGG